rnacentral:rRNA from 1 species
UGGGGAAUAUUGCGCAAUGGGCGGAAGCCUGACGCAGCAACGCCGCGUGCGGGAUGACGGCCUUCGGGUUGUAAACCGCUUUCAGCAGGGACGAAGCUUUUGUGACGGUACCUGCAGAAGAAGCACCGGCCAACUACGUGCCAGCAGCCGCGGUGAUACGUAGGGUGCGAGCGUUGUCCGGAAUUAUUGGGCGUAAAGAGCUUGUAGGCGGUUUGUCGCGUCGAAAGUGAAAACUCGGGCCUUAAUCCUGAGCUUGCUUUCGAUACGGGAUGUCUAGAGGAAUGUAGGGGACAAUGGAAUUCCUGGUGGCGCGGUGGAAUGCGCAGAUAUCAGGAGGAACACCAGUGGCGAAGGCGGUGCUCUGGACAUUUCCUGACGCUGAGAAGCGAAAGCGUGGGGAGCAAACA